rnacentral:rRNA from 1 species
UACGUAGGGUGCGAGCGUUAAUCGGAAUUACUGGGCGUAAAGCGUGCGCAGGCGGUUUUGUAAGCCAGAUGUGAAAUCCCCGGGCUUAACCUGGGAAUGGCAUUUGGGACUGCAAGGCUUGAGUGCGGCAGAGGAGACUGGAAUUCCUGGUGUAGCAGUGAAAUGCGUAGAUAUCAGGAGGAACACCGGUGGCGAAGGCGGGUCUCGUGGGCCGAUACUGACGCUGAGGAGCGAAAGCGUGGGGAGCAAACAGG